rnacentral:rRNA from 1 species
CUCAGGAUGAACGCUGGUGGUCUGCUUAACACAUGCAAGUCGAACGCAACCUUCGGGUUGAGUGGCGGACGGGUGAGUAACGCGUGAGAAUCUGCCUUGGGGUCGGGGACAACCACUGGAAACGGUGGCUAAUACCGGAUAAGCCUUUGGGUAAAAAAUUUAUUGCCCCAAGAGGAGCUCGCGUCUGAUUAGCUAGUUGGUGAGGUAAAAGCUCACCAAGGCAGCGAUCAGUAGCUGGUCUGAGAGGACGAUCAGCCACACUGGGACUGAGACACGGCCCAGACUCCUACGGGAGGCAGCAGUGGGGAAUUUUCCGCAAUGGGCGAAAGCCUGACGGAGCAAGACCGCGUGAGGGAGGAAGGCUCUUGGGUUGUAAACCUCUUUUCUCAGGGAAGAAGCUCUGACGGUACCUGAGGAAUCAGCCUCGGCUAACUCCGUGCCAGCAGCCGCGGUAAUACGGAGGAGGCAAGCGUUAUCCGGAAUUAUUGGGCGUAAAGCGUCCGCAGGUGGCGAUUCAAGUCUGCUGUCAAAGCACGGGGCUUAACUCCGUUAAGGCAGUGGAAACUGAAUAGCUAGAGUGCCGUAGGGGUAGAGGGAAUUCCCGGUGUAGCGGUGAAAUGCGUAGAGAUCGGGAAGAACAUCGGUGGCGAAAGCGCUCUACUUGGACGGCAACUGACACUCAGGGACGAAAGCUAGGGGGAGCGGAUGGGAUUAGAUACCCCAGUAGUCCUAGCUGUAAACGAUGGAUACUAGGUGUAGCUUGUAUCGACCCGGA